UUAAGUUCAGCGGGUAUUCCUACCCGAUUCGAGGUCAACCUUGAUCGAACUUCGAUUGAAAUUCGCUGCAUUCUAACGGCGUGAACCGUCCCUACCAUCAGCGAGAAGUAUGUCACAACGCUAAAGACAGGCGACGGCCAGCCGGUGAAAUUGGGGCGCGGGAGAGACCCGUCGCCCAAUACCAAGCCGGGCUUGAUUGG
rnacentral:misc_RNA from 1 species